rnacentral:lncRNA from 1 species
GCUCUCCUUUAUGAGAAGGGGAAACCGAAGUGCAGAGAAGAUAAGUCAUGUUUCCACAGAACUCCAGCUAAGUCAGCCCUACUGAGGCACGGACUGGAAGGUAGGCACACCUGUUAUCGCAAGCUUCCAAACCCAUGUCUUCUACCAUGCAGCUUCCUCUCUCUGUGGAGCUUAGUGUUCACACAAUCUCUAUCUUCUUCGUACAAGACUCCACCUAGGAGACCUGGAAGCCACAAUAAAGUUUCCUUGUUCACCAUCCCUUUCUCUGAAGCUCCAGCUGGACCUCCAGUGGGAUCAGGAGCUUCUCGUUGGGCUAUCACCUGGACCAUCCCUUUCUCUGAAGCUCCAGCUGGACCUCCAGUGGGAUCAGGAACUUCUCGUUGGGCUAUCACCUGGACCAUCCCUUUCUCUGAAGCUCCAGCUGGACCUCCAGUGGGAUCAGGAGCUUCUCGUUGGACUAUCACCUGGACCAUCCCUUUCUCUGAAGCUCCAGCUGGACCUCCAGUGGGAUCAGGAGCUUCUCGUUGGACUAUCACCUGGACCAUCCCUUUCUCUGAAGCUCCAGCUGGACCUCCAGUGGGAUCAGGAGCUUCUCAUUGGACUAUCACCUGGACCACCUCACUGGCCCUGUCCUUCCACUCAUGGCAGCCACAGUGAUCUGUUAAAAUGUCAGGCAGUUCCUAUCACUUGUCUGCUUGAAACUCUCCACUGAUUUUCCAUCACACUUAAAAGGAAACCCAAAUUCCAGACUCUGAGGUGCCAGACCUUCAGGAUGUGCUCCCUGGCUUCCCGUUGACCUCAUCUGUUCCCCUUACUUUAGCCACAUGGGCCUGUUUGUGUCCUUGAACUUGGCACCAGAUCUUACUUGGGGUUCUUUUGCAUCUGCCAUUCUUUUCGCCUACAUCCCCUUGCUUCAGAUCUUCACACGUUACUCACUCCCUCAUUUCACUCAGGUCUCUGCUCCGGUGUCACACUCCGCAAGAUAUCUCCCCUGAACACCAAAAAUGAUUUCUUGUCUUUGCUUCCCAACCAACCAGAGCUGAUACUGCCCAUAGCUCCAGAGCAGGUCUUUUCGGUGCUGCAUGUUUGGGAGGCCUUAGAGACCUGGGAAAGUCUGGUAUGACCACAGCGGGAGGUGGCGGGUGGGAGAAAGGGGAAUGGAGGAUGACUUGGGGUAGCAGCUAUUUACCGUCUGGUAGAGGUGACGAAGUAUUUUCAUCAGUAUGGCUACAUCAGUACAUACAACUGCAUCGCUAGGGCCUAGAGCUGUGCCAGGCACAAGUAAGCAGUCAGCAAAUAUUUGUUUAAUUAAUUAAGUAAAAAAAGAAAAUGGACAGAAAAAGCAACAUUUCAAGGUAAGGAUGUCCAACCACGUAGCAUAAGGCAAGGGAGAAAGGCAGGGAGGCAUUCCUGGCUGUGGGGGUCGAUGUUGGAAGCUGGGGGAGCAGAGAGGGACCAGUCUCCCCUCUUCAGGGGUUGCUUCCUCUUAUAUACCUCAGGGAAGAGAGGUUGUCCUUUGGAAGGUGCUCUUCUGCUCCGUUGUGGCUGCACUGACGCUGCUGUUGAGAUGGAGCUACCCCUCCUGGGACCUGGUUCUGCUCUAUGUGGGAGGUAGGCAGCAGAGGGAAGAUGUGAGGUGGGCUCCCUGCUCUGUUCCCCACUCCACCCUCCAAGGCUGGCUUCGCCAACGUGCCACAGCAGUUAUACAGGGCCCUGUGCUCAGAAGGGCCCCACACUUGGUUUCAUGCUUUGCUGUUGCUGUCUUGAAAUUGAUUCUUGCACCGGGCCCCCUGCAUUUCCAUUUUGCACCCGGCCCUGUGCAUUAUGUAGCUGCGCACUGUGAGUGUGCCAUUCCACAAGGCAAGAAAACUGCCUGCCCACGUUAACCCCCAGCCCACAAACAAACUAAGGUUUCUCAUCAUCAGGGAAGCAGCCGAGCCCUGGGCCUGCUUGUGUAGCAAAGU